rnacentral:lncRNA from 1 species
UGCCUUUCCUUGCUGAGAGUGGUUUAAUAUUGUUUCUGACAGACUUGAUUUGUCUUAAUUGACCUGAUACAUUUGUGAACAAAAACCUGAAGAUCAGAUAGAAAAUCUAGCAUCAGUCUGGGUGUACUGUUUGCAAGUUAUUUCUUCAGUACUUAUUUCCUCUGAAGUCACGUUUACAUUCUUACAAGAGAUAUUUGUUGAGUGCGUACUACAACUGUUCAAGGCACUGUGUUCGGAUGAACAUGAAUCUGAACCUGCAUUAUUUGGGCAGGUCAGAUACAAAUGGAUGGGCAUUUGCUUGCUAUACACUCUGCUGCUCUUCAAGGGAGUUAUUUUGUUGAGAAAAAGAGCGGGCAAUGUGGUAUAAAGUGGUGAACCACAUGUCUGGGGUGUUGCCAGUCCAUUUCUUUUCAUGGUGUAUUUAUGUAGGAAACAUUUAUUGACUGGGGAGCUGUAAUGUGCCAGGCAGAGCUCCAACCAUUGAGGAUGGAGUUGUGGACAAGACCUAGCCUUUGCCCUCAAGGAUAACACAGGACAGCUGUGAUUCCAGCAGCGCACUUUGCCUUGGCAGUUCGCCCUGCUGGUAUCCAAGUAAUCAGCAAGGGCUGCACAGGAGAGGGGUUUCCAGUGGGUUAGAUUGAUCUGUGCUGACCUGUCAAUGGCCACUCACCUGCUUCUCCUUGUACCAAGGGCACAGACCUUAGCCAGGCAAUGUUCACUUCCUUUUCAUCACAUGGUCCUUCUAUAAUCAUUUUUACUACAUCACCUGCAUAUUCUCUCCAGUUAGGAAGAUUUUUCAGAGCUUUACUCUCUAUAGGUGAUAGAUUUUUUAAAUUGGAGGAAUAUUGUUAUUUUAUUCCCCACAUUACCUCUGCCCCCUUCUUGGGAGAUUCUGAUACACUUCCUUCACACCCUCCCCCCACCUCCACAGCCAAAGAUUGAAAUUGACUGGGAAGACUAGUCUAGAGAUCCAUUCUUCAAUUUCAGCUUUAAUAGCUCUCAGCAGGUCUAGAAUGAAUCUGCUGAAUGAGUAAGCCAAUAUUUUAAGUACUUGAAAUUCCCUGGCCGAAAGCAUUAAAUAAAAUUGUAAAUGUUACCACUCCAAGAGAUGGGAUUUUUAACAUUAAGCACACAUAUGGCGUGGAUGUCCUUUUAAAUAAAUAAAUUAAAAAAAAAACCCUUAACCAUCAACACAAUCCAAAACUGUUGCUACACUUUGGCCAUCAAGUUAUCAGAUUAUAGUUGCAACAGUCCAUUCCUUGUAUGAAUAAAUCUGCACUGGUUCCUUCUCCAUCUCAUCCACCCCAAAGGAUUGCUAGAGAAGGGAAGGAAGUUGAGACCAGACAGGACCAUAGUGGGAGAGGGGUGCCCUGGCAAAAUAGGAGGGGUCCAUUGGGCUGAACACUAUGGAAAACAAUGGUGUGGUGGCUCGGUGCUGACUUGGCUGACUGAGCUACGUUAUGACCUAUCCAUCUGGUGGCCCUCAAGCAGCCUCCUACUGCCUUGCUGUAAGGCUAAGAAAUAAACACCUCUAUUCAUCAAGUGAGGGGCCAACAGACCAUAACUCUGUUCCUGUCUUUCAGAGACAGCAAAGAAGCAUCAUAAGUCAUGGUGAAAAUAUUUGUGAAAGUCCUUUCCAACUUUAAGACUCUUUGAUUUUAUGAUAAACUCUUGGAGAGCGAUUUCUAAAAGCCACUUAGUAUUCUGUCCUUUCUUGCCUUCUGGCGUUCCAUAUGAUAAUUCCAUACAACUUCCUAGACCAUGGCCUUAGCAGGAAAAGAGAGCCUUUAUCUCUGUGCCUUUGCAAAUUCUCUGAGAUUACUGGGCUUAAUUGCUCGGCAGCUGUGCAGCUGUCAAACACAGGCGUUGGAACACACUGGGCACCAGCACCAGGGAGAGGGCACAUGGAGGGAGCUGUCCCAGUGAGAGCGAUGUCACUGCCUCCGCCUUGCCUCUGCUUAGUUCCUCCUGCUUCCGGACAACUUUCCCAGAUACCCCAGGACAGCUUCAAACCAGAGAAGUGAAAUGGCUGCAUUUGGGCCUGGAAAGCAGAAAAGGAGAAAGCGCAGCGCAGCUUCUGCACAUCCCGCCGUGUUAGCUUAUGGGGCCUGGUGUUGGUCUCAUGCCUGUCUGUAGCUAUGACAUCACGUAAACAUCACAUUGGAAGCCAGGAGUGAGGCUUCCGAUCUGUUCUUGCCUCGGAAGUGAAAUCAUAGCUGGAGAAGAUAAUGACGAAAUGAGCAAAUGCCCUCAACAGGCCCGCAGAUUCUAGGGAAAAGUCUUGCAAAAUCAUGCAUCAUGGACUUGAGAGUACUCGCCUUUAUUUGGGCCGGAAGUGCUCAUAAUGGAAAAGAGGCCUUCACAAAGCUGGCAGCACUGAGGAACUGUUUGGCGGGCAGUCUCCAUGACAAGCCUGCUGGUGGCAUCUGAUGGCAGUUCGAGGGGGAGGGCGCUUACGGAAAGAAAAACAGGGCGGUGGAGAGAAACCGGGUCUCAGAGGAUGUGAGAUGACAGGUGAGGUGACAGGAGGACGGAUGCAGCUCAUGGAGCUGCACAGGGGCUCCCGGGAGAGGAUUCCAUUCACUGACCAGGGCUGAGUCAGCCGGCAGUGGUUUGAGACGGAGGAGCAGCUGUGAGGGGACCUUGGCUGGCUGGCCACCAGGGCCCAGGAAGAGCACUGAGGAAGUCCUCAGAGGGCACAGUCACUGGGGCAGGACUGGAGUGGCUGGCAGAGACAGGUUUGCUUUGCAUACGAUGACAUUUCCCUUUCUAACUGCAGAGGCAAACAUCCGUAGGAAUUUUGGAAAAUGCAGAAUAUUAUGCAGAGACUAAAACAACUCGUCAUUCUGUUAGCCAAAGAUAACCACUAUUAACAUUCAAAGUACAUCCUUUUGGACGGUCUCCUCUAAGCCCAGAUGUAUAUUUCUUGACACACUUGGGAUCGGCGUGUUUCACACCCUGCUUUUAUCCCCCACUUGGUAGUAACCUGUUCUGACUGGUCUCCUCCUCCUCACUUGUCUGCAUCUUUCUCAUCUCUAAGAGCUCAGCCUCAGCCUCGCUCACUUACAGCAAAGUCCCCAGAGCCCUGCCAUGGUGCAGUCGCUGUCCUCCGGCUCCCACGGCGCCCCUUCUUGACAUUUAGCAGCAUUCGUUCCAUUUGUUAUGUCUUAUCUCCUCUGUGGCUGUACAGGUCUGUCUCGGUUGCCACUAUAUCCCCGGCUUCUGGCCCACACAGGCGAAGACUCAGGAAUAUCUCUGUUAAUAUGUGAGUGAGAGUGUUUUGGACCUGCCUCUUAGUGGACCUGUAACGUACGGCUGACAGAAAUAGAUCUACAAAUCACGAGCUUGGGACCUAGGCUGUGGGGCGAGAGAAGAAAGAACCAGAGCCAGAACGCUUGACUAAUGAUUUCUCUGUGCCAUGCUGGCUGCGCCCACCAGGCUGCCCACCCACAGCGUGCCCCAUCUGAGUAUGGUAUGAACCCCAAAGGCUCCUUCGUUUGUGGUCAAGUUACUUUGUUCUCCACUGGCCAUGAACCUGUGAUGUGGGGAGGAGGUUCCAGAAGCACGACGCCAGGCUAAGGGAAAGGCUCUGGUCCAGAGGCCACGGUGAUAGAGCAAGGAGCGCUUCAGCUUCCUCUUCCUCUCCCUCCAGGGGCUGGUGCUGGUGGACGUGGUCGUGGAGGGUGUAGCGAGGCACAAGCACCAGGGAACCUGGCCACAGUUGCCUGGCUGGCUUUGCUUCAGCACCGGGGCGCUGUCAAAAGGCAUUCCUUGGGUUGUUAAGCCCCAAGGGAAGGAGCUACUAGAUGCAGCCCGAGAGAAGCCUCUGCGGGUGGUGAGAAGACCUCAGCAGCUCAAGCCCUUGAUGGAACCCUAGCAAACUGCGUGGACGAGGAUUUUGAUCUGUUUGAGGAAAGCAAGCCUGCCUGACUCCCAUGCUCAGCACAGCUCAGUGCCGCAUCAUAUUUGUGUAAACAAUCUGGUCACCAGCUAGUUUCUUCUCAUGCUUUUGAUGAAGCUGGAGAAUAAUAGACUCUUUUUUAAACAUUUUUUAUUAAAGUAUAGUUGAUUUACAGUGUUCCUUGAAUUUCUGCUGUACAGCAGAGUGACCCAGUCAUACCUAUAUAUACAUUCUUUUUUUUUUAAUGGAAUAGUAGACUCUUUUGACAAUAAUUUCUUUGAGCAGAGUUUUUUUUAAAGUUCGGCAGAAUCUUACAAAGUCAGCGUCUUGUUGAUGUUAUUCUGUAACAGUAAAGUUAAGAGAAAGUGACUGUUUAGAUUUGGGGUGAAGAGAAAGCAUUGUAAAGUAAAACCCCUAAGUGUUUGAGCAUCUGAAAGCUCUUCUCUGGCAUUUGGAGGCAGCAAUCUUUGUAGAAAUGGCAGAGCACAUUUAGCCUCCAAGCAAGGUAUGCUUCUUGUGCAUUUCUGCCAUUAAUUACCUUUCUUGUUUUCAUGUUCCUAAUCAAGUUUAAGACUACAC